UCCCCGGGCUCANCCUGGGAACCGCGUUCUGAACUGGGUGACUAGAGUGUGUCAGAGGGAGGUAGAAUUCCACGUGUAGCAGUGAAAUGCGUAGAGAUGUGGAGGAAUACCGAUGGCGAAGGCAGCNUCCUGGGAUAACACUGACGUUCAUGCCCGAAAGCGUGGGUAGCAAACAGAAUUAGAUACCCUGGUAGUCCACGCCCUAAACGAUGUCGAUUAGCUGUUGGGCAGCAUGACUGCUUAGUAGCGAAGCUAACGCGUGAAAUCGACCGCCUGGGGAGUACGGUCGCAAGAUUAAAACUCAAAGGAAUUGACGGGGACCCGCACAAGCGGUGGAUGAUGUGGAUUAAUUCGAUGCAACGCGAAGAACCUUACCUGGUCUUGACAUGUACGGAAUCCUCCAGAGACGGAGGAGUGCCUUCGGGAGCCGUAACACAGGUGCUGCAUGGCUGUCGUCAGCUCGUGUCGUGAGAUGUUGGGUUAAGUCCCGCAACGAGCGCAACCCUUGUCAUUAGUUGCCAUCAUUAAGUUGGGCACUCUAAUGAGACUGCCGGUGACAAGCCGGGGGAAGGUGGGGAUGACGUCAAGUCCUCAUGGCCCUUAUGACCAGGGCUUCACACGUCAUACAAUGGUCGGUACAGAGGGUAGCCAAGCCGCGAGGCGGAGCCAAUCUCACAAAACCGAUCGUAGUCCGGAUUGCACUCUGCAACUCGAGUGCAUGAAGUCGGAAUCGCUAGUAAUCGCAGGUCAGCAUACUGCGGUGAAUACGUUCCCGGGUCUUGUACACACC
rnacentral:rRNA from 1 species